rnacentral:misc_RNA from 1 species
CAUGAGUGGUGUUUUGCUUGUGUUGGUUGGUUGGAUCCUUGCUCUGGCAACGACGUCCAUCCUCGCAUGCAUCUUCAGUCGGGUCUCGUGAUACCUGUUAUCUCGAGCUAUGAAUCGGUUUCCUGUGUUGCGUACCUCUAAAGAUGGCAAUCGGUAGUCCCAACGUCCCAUUUCGCCUUGNGUUGUCCCUUCNCCAGGCCNUUGCUUGAGCUCUCGGAUGCGGUGCAUNAUACGCGGGCACGGGGACUCACGUCCUCUAUUUGCCCGAACAAAAGCUUUCAUCGCUUAGUUGCGAACGAUUGAGAUCCCCGUUUCGAGCCCUCGGGCUGGUGCGGCGGUCGCUUCGUGAGGAAUGC